rnacentral:rRNA from 1 species
GACGAACGCUGGCGGCGUGCUUAACACAUGCAAGUCGAACGGAAGGGCCCUGCUUUUGUGGGGUGCUCGAGUGGCGAACGGGUGAGUAACACGUGAGCAACCUGCCCUUGACUUUGGGAUAACUUCAGGAAACUGGGGCUAAUACCGGAUAGGAGCUCCUGCUGCAUGGUGGGGGUUGGAAAGUUUCGGCGGUUGGGGAUGGACUCGCGGCUUAUCAGCUUGUUGGUGGGGUAGUGGCUUACCAAGGCUUUGACGGGUAGCCGGCCUGAGAGGGUGACCGGCCACAUUGGGACUGAGAUACGGCCCAGACUCCUACGGGAGGCAGCAGUGGGGAAUAUUGCACAAUGGGCGGAAGCCUGAUGCAGCAACGCCGCGUGCGGGAUGACGGCCUUCGGGUUGUAAACCGCUUUCGCCUGUGACGAAGCGUGAGUGACGGUAAUGGGUAAAGAAGCACCGGCUAACUACGUG